UCUCAUCUUGUGCACAAUAAGCAUGAAGUUUUUUGAUAAAAUGAAGUUAAUACACUUUCGUGAUAUCAGUGCCAAUAAACAUGGAAAUGUGCUCAACCUUGUCAAUAAUCAGGGGAAUGAAGAGCUGGGAUUCAUGAUGGUGCUGUUACAUUGAAUUCUUGAGUUUUUGCAGGAUCUGUUGAGACAUAGGUUGUGCUCUUUCCUGCUGGAUUGGAACCUGAGAGGAUAAAGGCUCAUGUUGUUGCAGCCAUCUUGCCACAUGAGGGGAGAGCUUGUCUGAGAAUGGAGCCACACCAGAGGAAGGAGAGACUAGAGAUGAAGAGAGAGACUAGGGCUGGUCAGAGCCAUUGAGUCUCUAGAUCCAGCUAUACCUGAGGCCAGGACUCCCCUGAACUUUUAAGUUAUGUGAACUAAGUUUGAGCUGAGAUUUUCCAUAUUUGGUAAGAGUUCUAGCUGACAUGAGCAUAGUGAUGGAGGGAGAAAGGCUCUCGAUGUCUGUCACUUACUGACUGUCACUACACACUGUUCUAAACUUUGUGUGCAUUACUUCAUUUAAUCCAACAAGGCGCUGAGGUAAGGCACUCUUCUUCUCAUUUUACAGGAUGCAAGGAGACUGAGGCAUACAAAGCUAAAAAUGUUCACCUAAGAUCCCACAGCCAAGUUUGGGGCUAGGCAUAGGCGAUCUGACUCGAGAGCUUGUAUUCUUAAUCACAUCCUCACUGGAAUCCUUGAGUGCAAGUCAGGAAGCUUUGGUGCUUUCUCCUGGGUUGAUGACGUUGGCAUUGCCUGCAGGUUCAUGUAUAUGAGUACAGUCGGUGGGAUCCUGAACAUUCAGUCUGUGAGGAAAAUCCACAAGAUGUUUUCAAAUCCAUUGUCUUUCUCCAUUUAGAAGCUGCUGCUGCUGCAUUUUCAUCAUGCAACACAAUGAUAUGGGAUUAAUUUGGUAAUUAAAUGUUUGUUGCUGGGAAUGAAUAAAUUGUCCUUCAUCACUAGGAGAUUUUGUCAUCUCAAUUUGAAAUUGGAGAAGCAAGACGCCUGCUUGUUUGUUGUGGCAUUCACUUCCACUUUGUAACUUUGUAUAAUAUAUGCUGACAGUAUUUCCCCAUUUGUAUUCUCUGGGAAGAUGUUAUUUACUCUCCCUGAUGGUAGAGGAAAAAAAAUAGGUCAUUGCCUCAGACAUCUUUCUUAAACCAUCCUAGCACGUGCUCCAUUAGGUAGAGAUGCAUUUUCUGAAGAAGAGAAAGCCAACCCUGUCUUUUUUUUUUUUUGUCCUAGUCCAAAUUUUCUCCGAGACUGCUGUGUUCUUGAAUGUUUGCAGAUAACAGUUUUAGAGUUAUAACCAUGAUGGUUUGUACCUGUUCCUUGGACCAGAAGGGGAAAAAGGAAGAGGAGGUAUAUGAGGGGAAUUGAUAGCAGCCCUGAAGCCCUUGGUUUACAUUAUUCCUUUGCCCUCUUGGGUUGGAGGUGAGCAUGGCAGAGGAAGGGACAGCAGAAUAUUGAAACAGCUCCUUGGACAUGCCAGGGUCAAGGAGGCACCACAGACUGUGUGCAGAGACAGCUGAUUUGCAUCUUGUGUUGUUAUGAUGGUGAACCUGGACAAUUUCAUAGACAACAGAGAACCCCAGGAACACAGACUUGAUUUCUAACAUUCCAAAGGGAGGAAAGAAUGGCUGGCAUCUACUCAGUUCCAAGGACACCUGCCCUGUUGCUUUUUCCCACUGCAUGGCACACAUGCCUUGGCUGUGCUGAGCAUCAGCCACUUAUAAGGGGCCGAGGGCCAGCCUUGCUUGUACCAUUUCAGACCUUUGCACCAUUGCAGACAGUGGGCUUUCUGAGAGCAGGGACCUUGGCUGUCUUGCUCACUCUCAUAUCCUCAGCACAAAGGACACUUCCUGGCAGGCAGAAGGCACUCAGUAAGUGCUCAAGUGCCAAAUGAAGACACGAAUGAACAGCAUCCACAGAGUUGCUUCUACUUCAAUUUCUGGUCCUUUCCUAAGGCUGAGUUGAAGGCUGCAUCGUCAGAAGCUUGCCUCUAGGAUGCCUUGUUGUCGGAGCAGCUUCAGUGGGUCACAUGGAGGGGCCCUAGUUGUCUCACUGAAUGGUUGCACCUGAUCAGAAAAUGGUUGUCCGCCCCACCCAUGGGGUUUCUACAUCAGGAGCAUGACAGGCAUUUUACAGUCUGUGAAAGCACUAUACCUUUGAAACUCAAGGCAGGAAAAGAUUUCCCGUUGUGUAUCAUCUCUUCCUUGGGAUACAGGAUACAGAACAACCUGGCUGCUGCAUGAAUGGGGUAAUUAUCCUGGGGUAAUGUGAAAUAGCAGGGAAAAAACAAAACCAACAAAAAAAAAAUCCCUUACCAGUUAGUAGUUUUGAGGAAAUAUCCCAUCAUCAGUGGAGGUGGCAACUAUAUGUAUGAACAACAGUUGUUGGAAAGAAUGUAAGGAUUGAAUUGAGUAAAUGAACUUGGCUAAAUUUCUUCACCUCACUACAGAGUGGCACGUAUAAGUGUUCCAUAAAUGGUUGGCUCUGUGAGGAUGAUGACAAACCAGGAUCUUUCUUCCAGUGCUGAUGUUAAUUUAGAGAGAAAGAGGAAUUGUAUCUUGAGGUUUUAUGUUGGAGUUUAUGCCCAUGAGACCGUCUUGACAGAGAGCAGUCUGCUGGCAUAUUACCGGCCAUGCCCCAGGGCCACCAUUUUCCUGAGCCUUUGUUUGGUCUGUGGGGACAGGGAACAUUCUUUUCUUUUGGUCAUAAGGCCAGACAGUGGGAGGAGAGGGCAGCUCUGGGCACUUGGCUACUUUCUAGGUUGGGUAAAAGCCAGUGAGGACUGCCUACAGUGCUCCUACCUGGCUCCCAUGCAGGAAUGCACAGUUAGAACUUAGUAAGUCCCAGUUAAGGAUCCAGUAGAGGAAAGGAGACACAUGAGUGUAUUACCUUGAAUGGAGAUUACUUGAAUUCUCACCAAUGUAGUAUUAAAACAGGACAGACAGGCCCCAAGAAACUAGCUUGGCUUCUCCCAGCGAGAACUCCCCAUUGAAAACGAAUUCUUCUCUUUGUUGGAUUUUAUGCAACUUGCAGUUAUUGUCAUUGAUUUUGCAAUAACCACAUACUCUAGUUUUUGUGUUUUAUGCUCCCCUCAGUAGUUCCAAAAGGACCCAGCCCUGCCGACAUCUUGUCUUUAGCCAGUGAGAUAGUUUUUAGGCUCUUGGCCUUUUGGAAUUGUAAGAGAAUGAAUUCCUUUUUUUUUUUUUUUUUUAAGAUACUAAGUUUGUGGUAAUUUGUUCCAUUGGCCCCAGGAAAGUAGUAUAUAUAGCUUUCCUUCAUUCGGUCAACACAUCUUUGCUGUACAUCUGUGAAGUAUCAGCCAUCUUUUCUCUAUACAGUGCUUCUGUGGAGGAAGUGCCAGUUGGAGAUGCCACAUCCCAUCCAGUUAGAGCUGAGUUGGUGACUGGUGGAGGAAUAUUAACCCCCCUGCUCCUCAGAGGCUCCAGUCGUCUUUCUCUGAUCAGCAGAGCUCUGAGCCUGAGCUCAGGGGUCCCAUCUGGAAGAGGGGAAGGGUCAAGAUGUCUUGGGAGCUGUGAGAUGGAAGCACUGUCAUGUACUUACAGCAGCUUCCCAGCCAUGAGAACCAGAGCCCAGCUUGGGCGAAGUGCAGGGAGCUGCUGCUGGCAUGUGGACACAGCUAACCUGAAUUAGGUUCCUGGUACCACACAGGUAGUGGCUUAGAACAGCACAGAUUGAUUGAUUGAUUGAUUUUUAUAGUUCUGGAGAUGGGAAGUCAGAAAUCAGUCAAGGUAUGGGCCUUCUGGAGUCCUUAGAAGCCACCUACAUUCCUUGGCUGCUGGGCACUCGCUCCAACUUCAAAGCACAUCACCCCAGCCUCUGGUCUGUCAUCACAUGGCCUGCUUCUUAGUCUCUGACUCCCUUUUUACCUGUCUUGUAAGGAGCCUUGUGACUAUACUGGGCCCACUGGGAUAAUACAGGGUCACCUCCCUAUCUCAAGGUCUUGAACUUCAUCACAUAUGCAGGGCCCCUUGUUCUAAGGUCACAAUUGCAGGUUCUAGGAAUUAGGACAGGGACAUCUUUGGACCUAGAUACUUAGGGCCAUUUUCAACCUACUGCUAACCCUCUCAGAGCAGAAGGUUGCUGAUCCACUUUGAGCUUCAGUAGAAGCCUGGCUCACAGCUCUCUCUCUGGAACGUGAUGGAUAGUUUCAGAGUUGAGGCCAGCCUUUUUCUGUGUGCAUGUGAGCACCACAUGGUUUGAGGGCCUCAUGUAGCCACCCACCACUUGACCUUUGUCAUGCCCUUACCUGGUGCUGGGUAAUGUGGUCUUCAAUGGCCUUUCCAGAAAAGAAUAUAGAAGUGUGAUCAUGAGGUUUUGUGAAAAGCAUUCAGGAAGUACAGUAGGAUCCAGGGAGCUGUCUGGGAAGAGUUCGAAAACACUUGUGACAGACGCCCGUUGCUUGUCUUUCCAUGGGGCUAGAGCUGUUUCUUUUUCUGAGCACUUCGUAAGUAAUCUGAAGCCAAGCUGAACAUUAAUCUAAAGUCUCAGGUAAGUUCAUGUUAUCAGGACUCAGUUCUUGCUUUCUCAUCUGCCAUCACAAGAGCAUUAUGCAUAGCAACUGGAGUUUGGGUUCCUGUAAAAAAAAAUCUUGGGCCACAGUGAUUACACCAGAUUUAAAGGUCCAUGGGGUUAAUGGAGGUGGAUGGGAUCUGUAGUCACAGCUCUGAGAACAGCUGGAGUUCAUAGUGAGUGGAGAGAAUGGAAGGGGGGGGCAGCAUUGUGAACAUUGCAUCUUUUUAAAGAUAAGUGACAUUUGGAAAGAGUCCACGGUAGGGCCUAAGCUUUUUUUUUUCUAAACUGUCAUGGUUGAAUGUGCUAUGUCCAGGGAUAGAUUAGGUAGGGAAUAUAGGCAGCCUUUACUUACAAAUUAGCCAGAAUUGGUUGAAUAUGACAGAAAUGUAACUGGUUUAAACAAAAGGGAAAAAAAAAGGAAAAUUUUUGACUCAAAUUUCUUAAAGAUCCCAUAGAUAGAUGUUACCUUCAGGCAUAGUUGGAUCUAGGGUUCCAAGUGUGUCAUCAAGACUCGAUCUUUCCCUAUCUCUCAGUUCUGCUAUCUUCCCAUUAACACUGAGUUCUUCUGGACUUGCCAAGCAGCAGUUCUAUCAGCCAAGCAGCUUCAGUGGGAAGGAACAGUGUUUUUCCCCAAAAUUUUGACAUAAGUAGUUGGGCUGAUUCCCAUUGGCCUGGUUUGAGCCAUAUGACCAUCCUUAAGCCAAUUAACAAAUGACCAGGAGGGUGUGAUGCUCUGAUUGUGGGUCUGGGUCACCCAUUCUCCUGCCCCACAGCCAUGACAGGGAUUAGACCUAACUGAACCACCAGGCUUGAGAGUGAAGGAAAGUUGGCUCCCCAAGGAAGAUUGGUUGGUGUUAACAGAAGAUAGAGGAGCAUGUGCUGGUGAGGCAGAAAUAGCAGAAUGUCCAUGGCAAUUUACAGCCCAGGAAGGGCUUAUUGAAAGGCUGCUCAAUUACUUUCUAGGACAAGGAAAGGAGUAUGUGUGUUGCUUUUACAAAUCUUUCAGAGAAUAUUUGUGUCACCAUCCUUAGCCCUGAUCCUCAGUUGGGGAAGCAUAUCCUAUUAGACUUCAAGACCACUAGGGUUUAUUUAAUGAAGUUUACAAAGUAGAGAACAAAAUGCUGGCUUUGUAAAAAAGCAAAAAACAAAACAAAACAAAGACACACUUGGAGACCCUGGAAGUUCGGAGCGUUGUCUUUACCAAGUGAGCUAGCUUCAGGGGACACAAAGUGAACAAAAAAUGCUUAUUGACAUAUAUAAACUGUACCCAGAAAUGCCACUCUUUAAAUGUACCACCAGUGAGAGACUCUGGGAAGGUCUUAAUACUCCGGGACACUCAGGCUUUCCCCUUUAAUAAGGAGAAGCUUGUUCUGGCCAUAGUACAAUAAAGCUUGCUACAUUCUAUCUCCCAAAUUCCCCUUCAAUUUCCUGUGGAAUUCUUCCCUUUUAUAUAUAUAUUUUUUGAAAUUGUUAAAAUUCCUUUUCCAGCCUGAAUCUGCUUCCUGGUUAUUUAUAAGAGCUGUGUGCCACCCAGAGGUGGCUGAUUUUUCAGACAGAGACAUGAGCAUUUUGUUUUAGUGUCCUUCUUUAAUUUGAAUGUGGAGUGAAAUGUGACCAGACUCAGAGUUUGGUCAGGUGUCACCACGUCUAGAGGAUGACAGUAGCAAUUAGGAAACUUUGCUUUGAAAGCAACAAAAAUCUCAGCUCAAACCGGCUGAAAUGCUACAGGAAUUUAUUGGCUUGGGUAGCUCAAAUGUCUAGGGACUAUAAAGCUGUGGACAUAGUUUGAUCAGGCAUUUUUCACCUGCUUUAUUCACUGAUGUAAUAACCUAGGCACUUAGAACACUGUUCAGAACAGUAAAUAUUUGUUGAAUGAAGAAAAUUAUUCUGACUCUGCCUUUUUCCAUGGGUUGGUAUGUGGGUGAAGAGGCAACAUCUUCUAUCUCUUCUUUCUCUCCUCUUCCCUCUGCUGACAGUGCUCCCACCUCCAUUAUUAUUUUGCCAAAUCCACAAAACAGCUCAAGGCCUCUAGCAUUUUACAGAAAAGGAAACCAAGGCCAGAACUCUGGAAGAAUUUAUCUUUGGACAGUCCUUUCACCCUCCUAUAGAGCACUGAUGGCAGAUAUUUCUCUUGUCAUACCUUCUGUUUAUAUUCCAAAUGGGCAGCUGGCCCUCAGCCAGCAGGAUAGGGAGCUGAAAUUCAUUCUUAUAGUUCUGCUGGUCUAUAUAUUUUCAAAUUGGCAGCAAAACCCUUUUCUGAUCAUAACUGCAGUUAGUUUGUAAAAUGGGAACAUGGGGUAGCUUGAUCACUCCACGGGGAGUGGGAUUCUACUUUUCUGAUUUUAAGCCUUUUAUGCCUCCAGAGCAUCCCAAAGCUUACACUGUUUUUUGUUUUUGUUUUUGUUUUUGUUUUUCAAGUGACCAAAUGCACCUUGUUUGUGUGUUAACUGGAUUUCCAGCUAUUUGUUUCAAACAGUUAAUUUUUUCACUCUCUUAUUUAAAAAUGUCUCCUGUCCUUGGGCUGAACCUCCUGAUGGAGGAGAUUCUCCUGCUUCUCCUGCUACUCCUUAUCGAUUUGUAUAUCAACAAAAUGCCUCUGAGGACUGUUGGGCCCUGACACCCUUCUGGAAGGCAGACUUUGAUGAACCAAGUCCAAGAAUAUGGAGCAGCCACACAUAUAAGGACCUCCUACCACCAGCGGUGACAUCUUUGACUUUCUUGAAGGAGCUGCCUUGUGAUCUCAGCCUGUCUUGGGCAGCAGCAAAGGGCCCAAGGUGGGGUUAGUGUGUGCAGUGGAGGUUCGGAAGUCAGAGGUCGGCUGUCACAUCCUGGGCUUGUCUGAUCAUUUGAAUGGACUGCCUUUUUCUUAUCUUUCUCAUGGCAGUGAUAGUAUCCAAGCAAAAUGUUGCUAAGUAAAUAAAAGCAUCCCUAGUGGCCAAAGCUGGAACAAAUUGAGCAAGAAAGAGUGUUGCUUUAUUACCCAAAGUAUAAAAUAAGUAUAUUCAUGAGUCUAUACCAAUAUAAAUAAAUGAUUGAUAAGCUGAUAAAUGAGGUAGAAGAAACAACUCACCUGUGCAGAUAAAUUCCAGAUAACAUAUAUAUCCUUCAUCUUAAAGGAGGCGAGCAUAACUCCCCACUCCUCAAGUAUGGGAUCUAUGUAGCAUUUCCUUCCAAAGAAGACACUGAGCCAAAGGAGAAAAAAGAGGAACUUCCCAGUGGAGAGACCUGAAAAACAUCUCCUUUACCAAGAGAGCAAGUUCAACAUCAACAAUCAUAAAUCAUUUUGAUAGCAUGUACCCUUGAUAUGUUGAAAUGAAAAUAGCACUUCACCUCUGUGAUCUUUCUCUCCCAGACCUGUAACCUCAAUGUAAUCAUGAGAACAACACUAGACAGAUACCAAUAGUUGGACAUCCUGCACGGUACCUUGAUUGGUGCUCUUCAAAACUGUCAAGGCCAUAAAGAGCAAGGAAAGUCUGAGAAGCUGUCACAGCCAAGAGGAGAUGUGACUGCUAAUGUGACAUUCCAGAUGGGAUCCUGGAGUGGAAGGGCUUUAGUUUAAAACCAAGGAAACUGGGGCACCUGGGUGGCUCAGUUGGUUAAGCAUCAGAUUCUUGAUUUUUGGCUCAGGUCACGAUCUCAGAGUCUUGAGAUGGAGCCCUACAUUGGGGGGUGUUUAAGAUCCUCUCUAUCUCCUUCUGCCCCCCUACCUCUCUCUAAAAAACAAAAAACC